CAGAAUACAAACGAAAUUUCUUGCGGAUUAAGGAGCUAAUCCUGAUUGGUGGUCCCAAUGACGACGUUAUUUCACCAUGGCAAUCAAGUCACUUUAGUUUCUACAAUGAAAAGGGGGAAGUGCAAGGAAUGAAAGAGCAAAGGUUUUAUAAAGAAGAUUCCUUUGGGCUAAAAACCAUGGAUGAACAAAACAGAAUAAAAACCUAUGCAAUUCCGAAUAUCCAGCACAGACAUUGGGUCCGUAACCUGACAGUGAUUAAGGACAUCAUCGUGAAAUCACUGACCUAAUUUAUUUUAAAAUGACAUUGUCUUUGGUAAAUAUUUAAGUAAACAAAUUUGGGCCACAUGCGGAAUUUGUUGUGUUCAACUUUACCAAGCAUUAAAUAAAAUAUAAAUAUUAAUUCAAUUUCGUAGAUGUUGUACUUGAAUAUCAAGGG